rnacentral:rRNA from 1 species
GCAAGUAUAACGCUGAAGGAGGAGCUUGCUUCUCUGGAUGAGUUGCGAACGGGUGAGUAACGCGUAGGUAACCUGCCUGGUAGCGGGGGAUAACUAUUGUAAACGAUAGCUAAUACCGCAUAAGAGUAAAUGUUGCAUGACAUUUGCUUAAAAGGUGCACUUGCAUCACUACCAGAUGGACCUGCGUUGUAUUAGCUAGUUGGUGGGGUAACGGCUCACCAAGGCGACGAUACAUAGCCGACCUGAGAGGGUGAUCGGCCACACUGGGACUGAGACACGGCCCAGACUCCUACGGGAGGCAGCAGUAGGGAAUCUUCGGCAAUGGACGGAAGUCUGACCGAGCAACGCCGCGUGAGUGAAGAAGGUUUUCGGAUCGUAAAGCUCUGUUGUAAGAGAAGAACGAGUGUGAGAGUGGAAAGUUCACACUGUGACGGUAUCUUACCAGAAAGGGACGGCUAACUACGUGCCAGCAGCCGCGGUAAUACGUAGGUCCCGAGCGUUGUCCGGAUUUAUUGGGCGUAAAGCGAGCGCAGGC